AUUUGCAAAUUUCUCGUCGAUCAACUGGGCAUCCCGUCCGCUCUGCCAUACAUAAUCUCAAGGGAUCGGUGGAUUAGUAGUUGGGUGGGUGACCACCAGCGAAUACCUACUGUUGUAUGUU
rfam:Pseudogymnoascus pannorum VKM F-4518 (FW-2643) contig_756, whole genome shotgun sequence.